AGAACGAACGCUGGCGGCAGGCUUAACACAUGCAAGUCGAACGGUUGUAGCAAUACAGCAGUGGCGCACGGGUGAGUAACGCGUGGGAACAUACCUUAGAGUUCGGAAUAACAGCGGGAAACUGCUGCUAAUACCGGAUAUUCUCCUCGGAGGAAAGAUUUAUCGCUCUAAGAUUGGCCCGCGUCAGAUUAGCUAGUUGGUGAGGUAAUGGCUCACCAAGGCUCCGAUCUGUAGCUGGUCUGAGAGGACGACCAGCCACACUGGAACUGAGACACGGUCCAGACUCCUACGGGAGGCAGCAGUGGGGAAUAUUGGACAAUGGGCGAAAGCCUGAUCCAGCCAUGCCGCGUGAAUGAUGAAGGCCUUAGGUUGUAAAGUUCUUUUGCCAGGGAAGAUAAUGACGGUACCUGGAGAAUAAGCACCGGCUAACUUCGUGCCAGCAGCCGC
rnacentral:rRNA from 1 species